rnacentral:rRNA from 1 species
UUUUGGACAAUGGGGGCAACCCUGAUCCAGCAAUGCCGCGUGAGUGAAGAAGGCCUUCGGGUUGUAAAGCUCUUUUGUCAGGGAAGAAACGGUGGGGGCUAAUAUCCUCUGCUAAUGACGGUACCUGAAGAAUAAGCACCGGCUAACUACGUGCCAGCAGCCGCGGUAAUACGUAGGGUGCAAGCGUUAAUCGGAAUUACUGGGCGUAAAGCGUGCGCAGGCGGUUGUGCAAGACAGAUGUGAAAUCCCCGGGCUCAACCUGGGAAUUGCAUUUGUGACUGCACGGCUAGAGUGUGUCAGAGGGGGGUAGAAUUCCACGUGUAGCAGUGAAAUGCGUAGAUAUGUGGAGGAAUACCGAUGGCGAAGGCAGCCCCCUGGGAUAACACUGACGCUCAUGCACGAA